GGAGGGGGCAGCUCAGCGGCAGAGCGCAUGCCUAGCACGCGUGAGGCCCUGGGUUCGAUCCCCAGUCCCUCCA
rnacentral:tRNA from 1 species